UUGUAGAUAGGGCUUCUAGAAAGCCCAAAACCAAGAGAAAAUAGACCCAACCCACGGCAAGAAGGAGGAAAAUGUUCUAGAACCAUUCUUCGUGUCCUCCAACGCUUCGGAACCUUCCAAUGUUGCUAAAACGCAAAGGCCAUUUAAGUUUAGGAAAGAUCAACCCAAAAUGGAAACUUUUAGGCUUAGCUUUCCUACUUCCAGUAGGAAACCUUGUUUGAGUAGGAAUCUUCGUUCUUCUCGGAAUCCAUCUUCAACUAGGAAUCCCUCGUUGAUUAGGAAUCCUUCGUCAAUUAGGACUCUUCGGACUAGGAAUCCUUCUCGACUAGGAAUCCUCAAAAUUUCAAAUCUUCAAAUUUCAUCCCACCUUGUGUUCCAAGCAUGUACUUUUCACACCAAGCUCCAUUAGGCUCUAAAAACUCCAAUUUGCCAUCUUUUAUGUCAUAUGCCCUUUGAACCUGAAAACACAUGAAAGUAGCUCAAAAGACUUCUUUUUUUAUACGAAUUUUCUUUCUUUUUUUUUUUCUUUUUUCUUAUUUUUUUUUUUCUCAUGCCUCAAAAGAGACUUUGGCACAUCCACCUAUCAAAAAUCACUCCCCCACACUUGUCUUCUGCACACCCUCAAUCAAAAGGAAUUCAUUUUAAGUCAUGCUUACUAUGCUUCAAGAACAAGGGUAUGGAUGGUCCUAAUCUAGGCUAGGUAAGGAUAAUGUGGGUUAACAAACAAUAUAGGCUAAAUAAGGCUCAACGGGGUUAAACUACAAAAACAUGUAUGGAAUGAAGCUUUUUGGAUAUGGUGGCAACUACAACAAUUUUCUCGAAUAUGUGUUAUGCAAUUCAUGAAAUUUUUGAAUGAAUUGGCAUGAGUUCUAGCAUUUGGAACUAAAGUGAUGAAACCUUCUAAGUAAUAACCAAGCAAAGAAUAAUGAGAUCAUGCAACGACUUUAGAAAACAAGAAUGCACAGAUUUUAACUCUCCCAAAUAAGUUAGGCUCAAGUCCUCAGGGUUGUAACUUUAGUUUGAGUUUCUUCCUUCAAGCAUGUCACAAAACUGAUUUUUUUCCUUUUUUGAUUACAUGUGAAUUCAUAAGUUAUAACUACAAUAAGCAUAACCAAGAGUAAAUCAAACUUCAUCCAUGUUUAUAAAUCUCUUCAAUAGUCAUGCAAUUAAAACCGAAUCCUCAUCAUUGUGUUGGAAGGUACCCUAAGACACAAACAAACACACAAAAACAACUUACAAACGACUCUUUUUUGGGUUUUUUAAAACAAUUUUCAAAUUUUAUGGAUUUUCGGAUUUUGAAUCAAAACACAUAAAAAACCAAAACAGCCUAAAAACAUAAAAACAGCAGAAACAAACAUUGGAAUUAUGAGUGAGAAAACCUUCAAAUUUGCAUAAAACGCUUUGGUUCCCCACACUUAAACCAACAUGUCCUCAAAUGUUUCAAGCAUAGACUCACACAAAAAUACAUAAACAACAAACCAAUACUAACAAACUAAACAUGGCAGAAACGAAAGAAACAACAAAGAGAAGGGUUUAGAAACGCAAAUCUGGAAUUGGAGUGCCUCUAGGUCUUCCUCUGUCAAAUGCAUGGGUUGCCUCCAUGAAGCGCUUGCUUUAACGUCUUCCAGCCGGACGGUACCAUCCGUUUAAGCUUGACUAUGUGCCACGGCAAUGGAGGGGUACCUCCUCCACGACAUGCCUCAAACAUCUCGUAAUAGGGCUUCAAUCGAUGCCCAUUCACUUUGAAUUCUUGUUGCGUCCUUGCACUCUUGAUUUGCACUGCACCAUGAGGGAAAACAUUAGUUACAAUAAAGGACAACCCAUUUGAACGCAACUUCCCGGAAACAACUGAAGGCGAGAAUUGAACAACAACACUUUCUGCCCAAUAGAGAACGUCUUGGCACGAAUCAUCUUGUCAUGGAUGCCUUCGUUUUCUCCAUUGUAAAUCCGGGCAUUCUCAUUUGCUUCAUUUCGGAUUUCCUCAGCCACACAUUGGAGCUUCUAUGUAAACCUGCGGCAUCAAGGUCCAUGUUAAAGUUUUGAGGCCCAGUGUGCACGAUGCUCUAACUCGAGGGAAGAUGGCAUGGCUUCCAUAGAUGAGCGAAAAGGUGACAUCCUAAUGGGGGGUUUUUGUAGGCAGUGCGAUACCCCAAAUGCAUUGUUUAAGCGCAAACUCCAAUCCUCCUUGUAGGCCCCACGGUCUUCUCAAGAAUUUGCUUGAUUUCCCUAUUCGAAAACCUCGGCUUGCCCGCUCGUUGAGGAUGAUAAGGUGUGGCACCUUAUGCGUGACAUUGUAUUUCUUGAACGCCCGAUGGUUCGAUUAACAAAAAUGGGAACUCAUCACUGAUGAGCACUCGUGGCAUCCGAACUUGCAAAAAUGUUAGUUUUCACAAAAUCUGCAACCACUCGAGAAUCAUUAGUUCGGGUGGCUUUUGCCUUCCCCACUUCGACACUAAUCCACAGCAAGUAAUAUAAAAGAAAUCAUGUGACGAAGGAAAGGGACCCAUAAAAUAAUACCCCAAACAUCAAAUAUUUCAACACUAAAAAUGGGGUUUGCGGCAUUUGUUGUUUAGGAAUAUAUUGCCGUUCUUUGGCAUCUAUCACAAGACAUGCAAAAUGUUCUAAGCAUCCCUAAAGAUGGUAGGCCAUAGAAACCACAUUCUAAUACCUUAAGUGUUGUUCUAUUAGUGCAAAGUGUCCCCCACAAGCAAAAGUGUGACAAAAUGUUAGAAUAACAUUAAACUCAGAAUCGUGCACACACCUACGUAUAACUGGUCAGGGCAAUAUUUCCAUAAAUACGGGUCAUCCCACACAUAAACGUGCCUCUUUCUCAAUUUAUCACCUUGGUGUUUAAGUAAUUCACUAGGAACAUGUUUAGACACCAAAUAAUUCACCAAUCAGCAUACCAUGGUUCAUUACUUGAUGGACAUCAGUUGCUCAUUGGGAAUGUCUUAUGAUAGGCACGGCAUCCUCCUCAUGUACAUACGGCUCAAGUGGUCAGCCACCACGUUUUCACUUCCCUUCUUGUCCGGAUUUGAUAUUGAACUCUUGGAGAGAAGCAUCCAACGAAUGAGUCGUGGUUUGGCCUCCUUCUUGUGAACAAAUACUUCAAAUGCUGCAUGGUCAGUAUAAAUAAUAACUUUAGUACCAAGCAAAUAAGAACGGAAUUUAUCUAAAGCAAAUACAACAGCUAGAAGUUCUUUUUCAGUGGUGGAAUAAUUCAAUUUGUGCAUCAUUUAAAGUCCGAGAGGCAUAAUAGAUAGCAUGCGGCCUCUUGUCCUUCUUUGCCCCAAAACAGCUCCUAAUGCAUAAUCGGAAGCGUCGACAUAAGCUCAAAAGGAAGGCUCCAAUCCGGUGGAACUAUGAUAGGGCCGAAGUUAGCAUGUCCUUUAGGUGAUUGAACGCCUUCUCACACUCCUUGUUUGAAGUCAAACGCCACAUCUUUCUGGAGGAGACGGCAAAGAGGGUUUGAGAUCUUGGAGAAGUCCUUGAUAAAUCGCCUAUAAAAUCCUGCAUGACCAAAAACGAACGAACCUAUCGAACCGAAGUAGGAGAGGGUAUAGCGUACAAGAUCUAUUUUCGAUUUAUCCACUUCAAUUCCUCUUUCUAAAAACAAUAUGCCCUAGAACUAUGCCUUGUCUAACCAUAAGUGACAUUUUCGCACAAUUUAAAUUAAAUCUAACUAAAAAGAAAUUGUUACAUGUCUAACAUAAUUGAAAACAAUUUAAAUUAAAAUGAAAACAGAAACAAAGAAAGAAGAACUCCAAACACUCACUAAUGGCAGAUUGCAUGUGCAAACUUCUCCUCCUUUGGACUGCACGCAAUUCCUCCUCCAAUGGUGGCUGCACAAGGUGGUGAUGGUGUGGAAGGCACGGCAAGGGUGGAUGUGGCAGAAAUUGGGAAGUUGGGGGUGGAAGGUUGCGGCAGGGGAUGGAACUAAGGUUUUGGCGUGAAUGAAUGAUAUGGGGGUGAUAGAUUCGGCCAAGAGGUUUAAAAAAGUAUAUAUAGGCACUUAAAAACCUAGCAAUCAGAUUAGGGUUUCUAGAAACCCAAAUCCACCAGAAAAAAGGUUAAAACAAUCAGAAAUUGAUGGGAAAAGGCUAGGGUGCGGCAGGUUUGGUGGGCUAGGUUAAGGCUUCUAAAAAGCUGCAAGGCAAGGAAAUCAGAAUACUUUUGAGGCCUAGGUGCGGCAAAGGGUUAGGGUUUGUAGAUAGGGCCUUCUAGAAAGCCCAAAACAAGAGAAAAUAGACCAACCACGGCAAGAAGGAGGAAAAUGUUCUAGAACCAUUCUCGUGUCUUCAACCUUCGGAAACCUUCCAAUGUUGUAAAACGCAAGGCCAUUUAAGUUUUAGGAAAGAUAACCAAAAUGGAAACUUUUUAGGCUUAGCUUUCCUACUUCCAGUAGGAAACCUCGUUUGAGUAGGAAUCUUCGUUCUUCUCGGAAUCCAUCUUCA
rnacentral:lncRNA from 1 species